rnacentral:misc_RNA from 1 species
CGCCGACAGCGAGCAGCCGGGCGGGCCGCGCAACGGCCCGGACUUCCAGAACCUGCAUCGCAACAAGCGCGCGAUGACGCUCAACCUGAAAGACCCGAAAGGUCUUGAGGUCUUCAAGCGUCUCGCCGCCAAGGCCGACGUCAUCGUCGAGAACUUCCGUCCCGACGUGAAGGACAAGCUCGGCAUCGAUUACGCAAGCAUGCGCGCAAUCAAUCCGCGCCUCGUCUAUGCCAGCAUCUCCGGCUUCGGACAGGACGGGCCGUAUGCCAAG